rnacentral:rRNA from 1 species
GAUGAACGCUGGCGGCGUGCCUAAUACAUGCAAGUCGAACGCAUUGAGAGAAGUGCUUGCACUUUUCAAUUUGAGUGGCGAACGGGUGAGUAACACGUGGGCAACCUACCUGAUAGCGGGGGAUAACGAGUGGAGACAUUCGCUAAUACCGCAUAACAAUAGAGAAGGCAUCUUCUUUAUUUAAAAGGCGCUUUCAAGCGUCACUAUCAGAUGGGCCCGCGGUGCAUUAGUUAGUUGGUGGGGUGAAGGCCUACCAAGACGAUGAUGCAUAGCCGAGUUGAGAGACUGAUCGGCCACAUUGGGACUGAGACACGGCCCAAACUCCUACGGGAGGCUGCAGUAGGGAAUCUUCCACAAUGGACGAAAGUCUGAUGGAGCAACGCCGCGUGUGUGAUGAAGGCUUUCGGGUCGUAAAGCACUGUUGUAUGGGAAGAAAUGCUAGGCUAGGAAAUGAGCUUAGUUUGACGGUACCAUACCAGAAAGGGACGGCUAAAUACGUGCCAGCCGCCGCCGUAACAC